rnacentral:tRNA from 1 species
GCCUGGGUGGCUCAGUCCGUUAAGCGGCUGACUUUAGCUCAGGUCAUGAUCUCACAGUUUGUGGGUUCAAGCCCUGUUUCAGGCU